GUGAGGAAUUUUCCGCAAUGGGCGAAAGCCUGACGGAGCAAUGCCGCGUGAAGGAUGAAGGCCUAUGGGUUGUAAACUUCUUUUCUUAGAGAAGAAUAUUGACGGUAUCUGAGGAAUAAGCAUCGGCUAACUCUGUGCCAGCAGCCGCGGUAAGACAGAGGAUGAAAGCGUUCUCGGGAAUGAUUGGGCGUAAAGCGUCUGUAGGUGGCUUCAAAAGUCUCCUGUCAAAGAUGAGGGCUUAACCCUGGGACGGCAGGAGAAACUCUGAGGCUAGAGUUUGGUAGGGGCAGAGGGAAUUCCCGGUGGAGCGGUGAAAUGCGUAGAGAUCGGGAGGAACACCAAAGGCGAAAGCACUCUGCUGGGCCACAACUGACACUGAGAGACGAAAGCGAGGGGAGCAAAAGGGAUUAGAAACCCCUGUAGUCC
rnacentral:rRNA from 1 species